GGCGGAGGCCGGAAGUGGGUGGUGGAUAUAUCAGGGCCAGCGGGGAGGUGGGUGCAGAUGCUGCGGGGCUGAAGGAGGCUGAGGCCAGCAGCACCCCCCUCGUGGCACAGCAUCCAGGAAGCAUGAGAGGCCUCCAUCUGGUCCUGCUGGCGGUCCUGCUGUGCUCGGACCAUGCCCUGAGCCUGCAGUGCUACUUCUGUCCUGGGGUCCAGACGAUCACGCAGUGCUGGGUCAUGACCUGUGGACAGGGACAGAACGUCUGCUUUAAGGGCAACCUGAUCACCACCUUGCCAGAUGGACUCAAGAAGCUCAGCAUGCAGCAAGAGGGGUUGUUCCACUUCCUGUGAGGAGGUUUCCAACAGACUAAGGCAGUACCUGGCUCAGGCCCAAGAGCCAGGUCCACUGGAUAAGAUAUUCCAGAACCUGGGUCCGCUGGCCCCCAAGUCUGAAUUGCAGGAUGUGUCCUGUUGUAAGACGGACCUCUGUAAUGGGGUGUCCCGGGCAGGGCAGAGCCUCUGGGCCCUCGCUGGGGGGCUCCUGCUCAGCCUGGGGCCAGCCCUGCUCUGGGCCCUGCUGUGAGGACCCGCCUCGGGCACAGAAAAGGGUGAGGGCGGCCGUGUCCAGGCAGCACCCACGGGGCCCCACGGCGAGCUGGCUGUCCCACCCACACUGGCCCGCUCAGACCUGGGAGCGCUCGGCCAAAGGGCUGAGCUGCCCUCCUCCCAGUGCAGGGGCCCAGAGAAAGGGCGGCCGGCCCCCCUGCACCGACCCGGCUGUGCCCACAAGCCUGUCUGGUUUGCCAGCAGCGACCGUUCACCUCUGCCCCACGAGGCAGGCACCACCUGCUGGGCAGGGGCCCUGGGAGAGCCGCCCCACAGCCCCUCCUGCAAGUUCCCCAGUGUGCCCCCCGCAAAGAGAUAAUAAACUUGGCAGCCCCCGCC